rnacentral:rRNA from 1 species
UACGGGGGGGGGCAAGCGUUUGUUCGGAAUUACUGGGCGUAAAGGGCUCGUAGGCGGCCAACUAAGUCAGACGUGAAAUCCCCAGGCUCAACCUGGGAACUGCGUCUGAUACUGGAUGGCUUGAAUCCGGGAGAGGAUGCAGAAUUCCAGGUGUAGCGGUGAAAUGCGUAGAUAUCUGGAGGAAUACCGGUGGCGAAGGCGGCAUCCUGGACCGGCAUUGACGCUGAGGAGCGAAAGCCAGGGGAGCAAACGGG